UACCAGUCACAAUGUUACGUGCUCCGUACAAUAUAUGAACAUUGUUUAAUUGUACAUUAAAAAUCACAACUCAACAAUAUUGAAUAAUAUUAAUAACAAUUUAUUAGAAUUACAGUAUUUUUAGGGGCUUUUUUUCCACACUACCUAACCCACCUAACUCCGAAUGAAUUCAAAAUUAUAUUUUCGUUCAAACUUUUCGCCUUUUUACACUCCCGCGAUGAGCUGCAAUGCUGCACCGGUCCGCGCGAGGGCGCGUUCGAAGUAUGUAUAUAGUCCCUGUAUAGGACGUAGUUAUACUUCACCUUCACAAUUUAAAGAUUUAACUUCAAUUCAAGGUUCGCAAUCACCGUGGUUCGAACCGCUAACUUAGAUCAAAACUUUGACCGAGUAAUCUACUAAUCUGUGCAGACUGUUACUUUUUGAAACUCGCAUCCGACUCGUCAACGACGCGAGUGGCGCUUGCGGUAGUGAUCGUUUCGUUUUUUAUGUAAAAAAAAAAAAUAUAUAAUAGCAGACGCGAUUACGGUGCGUGCCGCGUGGUCGUAUCCUCUCAGUCGACCAGUGGCCACCAAUCUAUAAGGCUGUUAACGAUUAUCAGUCACUGUCACUCUCGAGUCUUGGCAACCAACUCCGGUAACGACAGCAGAACGAUAUUAUAGAAAUUUUAUUGUUUACGUUCUGCAAAUCGAGUUUCAACCGUUCGGCUGCAGACAGUAGACUGCAGUCGUCCGCGACUCCGAAACCAUAGUUGCUAUUAACUCUCCACAUUGAACGUCAUUCACGAGACGCUGGUUAUCAAAUUUUUACAACAGUGCUCUUGAAUCUCGAUUCUCAAUAAUUUGUGUAAGUGUCCUACACAUGACCUAGAGCCAUCAGAAGUCACUGUCAACUGCACAUUAUUGUAGAAGCUUUGACGGUGCCUUCCAAUAUUCAUACAAUUAUUUAUAAAAUAACCAGCUACUAUUUUUGAUUGAAUUAAAAAGGUGUGGUUUCCAUAGAAAGAUGAAUUAUGAUAAUUUGUCACCCUCAAGUUCUCAAAAUCAAGUACAAAGAUCCAGGGAACAAUUUCCAACUAGAUAUUAUUUUACAUUCGAAGUUUUGGUGGUUUGUGAUGUGAAAUUAACAACAGAUGAUGGGGCAGUAAUAUAUGCACGCAAGAAUGAUUUAGUAAAUGCCAGUGAUUAUUUUAAUGCAAUGUUCAAUAAAUUUAAUGAAAAUUAUAAAGAUCAUAUUGUUAUCUUAAAAGAGUUAGAUUCCUUUGCUUUUAAACUCAUAAUAGAUUUUAUUUAUUCUGGUUUAAUCGAUGUCACAGAAAUAGAUUUAGAGGAAUUACAAAAAUGUGUUGUGAGUAUUUACAACGUCAUCUAAGUAUGCCACUGUGUAUUAGUACCAGAGCAUAUUUUGUUCGCUUGAAUAGUUGUUCCGUUCAUUCGACAUUGCUACGGAUUUGUGACACAUUAUAGAAGUAUAGAACACAUGAGAGGAGUGAAUCAAUGUGAUGAGUUCUUAUCUUUGUCAUCUGAAGCAGUAGAAGAAAUAAUUAAGCUGAUCCCCUAUGAUGAAGAUAAUGAAAAACAAGUUGGCAUUAAUCAUUAUUAUAAUACUUUGAUAUAGUGGAUAUAAGAUUAGAAGAUGAAAUUACUUAUAUAAUUUGAUUGUGGAAAGGCAAAUAAUUUUUUUUUCUGAGUAAUUCAAAUUUUGGUAGUUUUGUUUAAAAUAAUUUAAGGAGUGUUAAUUUUUUGCUUACAUUUUUAACAUUAAAGUUAGCUUAAGUCUUAGAAAGAAAAUAUAUGUAUUAAAUAUUAUGUCUGUGUUGUCGUUAACAAUUAAAAUAUUUUUAUCUAUAA